GCAAAAAAUUGGAGCACAAAUAGAGAUUCUCUCUCAUCAUUUGAGAACAUGUGUUUUCUGUGCACUUGCUAAAAAUUCUGGAUCUAAUGCACCUUCUGUGUAUUUUGUAAAGCUAGGACACUAAGUAUCAGUAUCUGUGGAACUGCAAAGAGUACCUUAAAAAGGCAUCACGCAUUAUACUAGCCACUGAUGGGGAUCUGCCUGGUCAAGCCUUAGCUGAAGAACUUGCACGCCGCCUUGGAAAAGAAAAAUGCUGGCGAGUCAAGUGGCCAAAGAGCUAUGAGGUUAAUCAUUUUAAAGACGCAAAUGAGGUACUUAUGUAUCUCGGACCACAAGUACUGAAUGAAGUAAUUGAGAAUGCCGAAUUGUACCCUAUAAGUGGAUUAUACAACUUUAGAGAUUAAUUUGAUGAAAUUGAUGCAUACUAUUAUCAGCAGCCAAGGUGUAGAAAAUGAUUGCCACUAGUAGGCAAGAUAGAUACUUGUUGCUGUAGCUUUUUAAACUCCUUCAAAAGUAUCAUUCUGAAAUGAAAAUGGAUUCACAUUUGG